GAGCGGCGGCUGCUGUAAUCUCCACUUGUUCAAUUAGCCGCACUGACCAGGACGACGCCUCCUACACUUCAUUAACAGGGAGGGGAAGGAGAUGCUGAUGGUGUAACAUGGAGUUAGGAAGGAGCACAAGGGAUGGAGAGGAAACCAGAGCUUGCUGUCAGAAGUGUGAGCCAUGUCCAAGGUGAAGCAAACUGAAUUAAAGUGAAUCGAGCUGAACGGAUCUGAACUGGAAUGACCUGAACUGAAUUGAAAUGAAACCUCUCUGGGGGGAAAAAGGUUCAAACAGAAAAACCUGAGAGUGACAUGGAUGGAAACCUUGUGUCAUGUAUACCUGCUUUUUGGGAUUUCCUACACUUUCUUUGGAUUUAAAGGGGAUUUUCAUUAUCAUAUUUGUUUUAAAGAAUUAAUUAAACCUAAAAUCUGCAACAUGAAUUGAGACACUGUUCAGUUAUUCUCCUUGAUUUCCAACACAGCUCAUUUGUUGAACUUAUAUAAACACAGCUCACAUAACAAAUAUACUAUCAACACUGUAUUGGCCUGAUUUCUGUUUCUUUCAUUUCUUUUUUCACAAUACUUAAUUAUUUUUGAAUAACAGUGAAAAAAUGUAAAGCUAUUUUUAAAGAAAAUGUUUCUUUAGGACUGUUUUCUGACCCAGGACCUGCAGAAUCUGCUAAACAGACUCGUACACAUUGUGUGCUGUCUCUUCAGUCGAUUUGAUGUUCCUGUAACUCACGUUGCUGCUACACUUUCCAUCCACAGAGCAUGUUGUUGGAUGCACCAGUGGGAUUUGUAGUUUUUAAAGCUGGAGCUUAAUUUCUGCAUGUUGGGGGGUCAGAGUGAGGGGGCUGCCCACAGCCAGCACUCCUGAGCUGGUGAGGGUUUGAUGCCUUGCUCAUGGGCACCUCAGCAGUGCUCAGGAAGUGAACUGGCACCUCUCCAGCCACUAGACCAAUUUCCAGAUUUGGUACCAGAACUUGAACCGGUGCCUAGAGACAUGAGCUACUGCCGCCCCUCACUCCUAACAUCCCUACAUCAUUACAACGAUCUGUCUGAAACAAACAAAACGUUGUGGUGUCUUUGGCCUUCACGGUCCAGUAAUAGAAUUUCAUGAAUUAUUUACACACAUUAUAAAUCAUUUCCUGCUCCAAACCUUCACCUCACUUCCAAACAAGCUUCCAUUUUUGACAAAUCAACUCUGACUGUUUAUAUGGACUUCACUGUGGAGAGUCAGAACAAAAUGAGUGAUUCAAUAAACCAGCACAUCUUCAGCAACACAUAAUCAGUAUUUAGAGGACACAACAUUGUAUUAUAGCAACUUUCAUUCAGCAGGAUGUUUGCAGACGUUUGCCUUUUGUGUGUGAGUCUCUGGAUCAGUGAGAAUUUGGUGUAUGUUUUUAAGCAUGUAUGAAAUAAAAUAAAAACAGAGAUGUUUUGAUCACUCCUUUUUCUGCUUCACCCAGAAGCCUUCUCAGUUUUCCAAGAGUCUUUUAAAAAGAUAAAAAUUGAUUACAAAGGGUAUCUUCCCCUUUUUAAAGAUGUGCUGAUAAAUACUGCUGUGCUGGAUAGUCAUGAUUAACAACUGUUUGGAUGAAUUUAUUCAUUAAUAAAUAUCCAAGGUCUAAUAGAAUUUCUCUGAGAUUUCUGUAGAUAUCAAAUGUUACAAAUCUGAAUUAAAGUUUGUCUUCGGGUU